UACGUAGGGUGCAAGCGUUAAUCGGAAUUACUGGGCGUAAAGCGUGCGCAGGCGGUUUUGUAAGUCUGUCGUGAAAUCCCCGGGCUCAACCUGGGAAUUGCGAUGGAGACUGCAAGGCUAGAAUCUGGCAGAGGGGGGUAGAAUUCCACGUGUAGCAGUGAAAUGCGUAGAGAUGUGGAGGAACACCGAUGGCGAAGGCAAUCCCCUGGACCUGUACUGACGCUCAUGCACGAAAGCGUGGGGAGCAAACAGG
rnacentral:rRNA from 1 species